rnacentral:rRNA from 1 species
AUGCAACUCUGGACCCUGGAGGGAGCGGCCGACGCGCUCGGCGACCAGGUCAUCAUCGACCACCUUGACAGCCGCACUUUCGAGCGGGUUGACACGAAGACGUUUGCCGUGUGGGUGUGGGUGUGGGAGCUACACCACAUCCCCACCAGGCGGAUGCUCUGGAAGCACACGCGAGGCGCGGGGUGGGUGGAGGAGAUGCACGUCUUCUCUCCGCCGAGCCGCACUGUUGCGCCGCCAUCGGCCCUGCUCAGGUGGGAUGUCCUGGUGCACAUCGACCGCAUCGAGGACUGGACCCCUCUGUCCCCGCGGUCCUCUCACUCGGUCCAGAGUGGUCUGCCCUCCUCGGACGACGACGAUCGCCCAUUCUCGCGUCGCCCCUCUGCCGGCGGCUGGACUCACAGGACCUGGGGCAACGAGAUCGCCCCCAGGCGCUGGUGGUGUCCACGAGCUACAGGGGCAUGCCCUCGGAGGACGCCAGGCGCGGCCAGGACAACGAGGACGAUGGCGGUCAGAGGCGAUCCUGGAAGGAUACCCUGCUGGGGCGGGGCCGCGGCAAGGAGCACACCGUGGUCGCGGUCGACCCACCUCUGGAGCACCAACGCAGCCGCACGCUAA